GGGCCCUUAGCUCAGCUGGCAGAGCGGCGGACUCAUAAUCCGUUGGUCGCAGGUUCGAGCCCUGCAGGGCCCACGA
rnacentral:tRNA from 1 species